rnacentral:rRNA from 1 species
CUCAACCGCGGGUUGGCGCAGGAAACUGGUGGACUUGAGUGCACGAGGGGAGAGUGGAAUUCCCGGAGUAGCGGUGGAAUGCGCAGAUAUCGGGAAGAACACCAACGGCGAAAGCAGCUCUCUGGCGUGUUACUGACCCUCAGGGACGAAAGCGUGGGUAGCAAACAGGAUUAGAUACCCUGGUAGUCCACGCUGUAAACGUUGUGCACUAGAUGCCGGCGGCACUCCGGUGCUGUCGGUGUCCAAGCUAACGCGAUAAGUGCACCGCCUGGGGACUACGGCCGCAAGGCUAAAACUCAAAGGAAUUGACGGGGGCCCGCACAACCGGUGGAGCAUGUGGCUCAAUUCGAGGCUACGCGAAGAACCUUACCCGGGUUUGACAUAUAUCUGCCGGCCUGUGA